rnacentral:rRNA from 1 species
GAUGAACGCUGGCGGCGUGCCUAACACAUGCCAGUCGAGCGAACAGACGAGGAGCUUGCUCCUUUGACGUUAGCGGCGGACGGGUGAGUAACACGUAGGUAACCUACCUAUAAGACUGGGAUAACUUCGGGAAACCGGAGCUAAUACCGGAUAAUAUUUCGAACCGCAUGGUUCGAUAGUGAAAGAUGGCUUUGCUAUCACUUAUAGAUGGACCUGCGCCGUAUUAGCUAGUUGGUAAGGUAACGGCUUACCAAGGCAACGAUACGUAGCCGACCUGAGAGGGUGAUCGGCCACACUGGAACUGAGACACGGUCCAGACUCCUACGGGAGGCAGCAGUAGGGAAUCUUCCGCAAUGGGCGAAAGCCUGACGGAGCAACGCCGCGUGAGUGAUGAAGGUCUUCGGAUCGUAAAACUCUGUUAUUAGGGAAGAACAAACGUGUAAGUAACUGUGCACGUCUUGACGGUACCUAAUCAGAAAGCCACGGCUAACUACGUG